rnacentral:rRNA from 1 species
AUGAGUAUCUUGAUGUGGAACUGCAGGGGGGACCGCCAGAUAGUUUGUGAGGUUUUGGCCCUCUCAAAAGCCAAUUCCCCGGGGCUGAUUUUCCUUUCAGAAACACGUCAAGCCUCAAGUCAUAUGGAAAAUCUUAAAAGGAGACUGAAUAUGAAUGGUUUUCCUGGUGUAUCUGGUGACGACCUUAGUGGGGGGCUAGCGUUAUUUUGGGAUGAAAACUUGCAAGUAACCGUACUCGACUCCUGCGCACGGUAUAUUAAUGUGAGAAUUGUUGAUAAUGCUAGUGACAAAAUGUGGAGAACUACUUUCGUGUAUGGAGAACCAAGGGUGGAGCACCGACACCGCAUGUGGAGUGCAUUGUCAAGCCUCCGUGCAGCAUCGUUGGAGCCGUGGCUGGUAUGUGGUGAUUUCAACGAAGUAAUGUGGCAACAUGAACACUUUUCUCGGUCGCAAAGGUCUGAAAAUCAAAUGCUCCUAUUUCGGUUUUGCCUGGAAGAUUGCGAAUCAUGGACCUGGGCUUCUUGGAGACACCGUUUACAUAUCAUAAUGGACAGCAGGGGGAAAGGAAUGUUCGAGUUCGGUUGGAUAGAGCGUGUGCCGAUGAAGCUUUGA